GUACCCAGCACGCCACUGGUGAUAUUGAAGUGUUCUUCAUCAUUCUUGUACCAUAUGAUAAAUCAACAAUAAUCUAUGUAGAUAUAGAUGAAUGUUCCCGAGGUUUCCACAACUGCCGCGGUCGUAAUUCUCAUUGUAUCAACACUAUCGGGAGUUUUUCAUGCAGAUGUAACCAUGGUUAUACCGGAAAUGGCAGGUCAUGCACUGGUAGGUGUUGCAAUUUGUUAUUACGCGGCCAACGAAAUUAAAUAAUGCAAUCACUUUCCCUAUACCUUCUUUAACUUUUUAUAUUUGUUGUAUAGACAUCGAUGAAUGUUCUCUAUCUAUUGACAACUGUCACCAAAACUCAAGCUGCAAGAAUGUUGAAGGAUCUUAUCUGUGUAGUUGUGAUAGCGGCGGAUAUUCUUGGAAUGGCACGGUUUGCGAAGGUAUAU